UGCACCGCCAACAACAAGGACUGCUCACAGUUCGUAACUUGCCAAAGAGGAAGGGUGAUCUGUUUUUUUUUUGUUUUGUUUUUGUUUUGUUUUUUUAAAGUUGCAACCUUUGCAGCUAUUACAGAUUUGACUUUGUUGCAAAACAAUCAGUGGAUAACCAGUUUUUCUUUUGUUCAUCUGCCUGUGCAAGACAGGUAGAACAAAGUGUGGAGGGAAAGCAGCUACCAUCUGAAUGCCUGUGUGAGUCUGUGUGAGUAAAGCAGCCAGAGGAUGCAGGUGGCAGCGAGGCUUUGCUCUAACUUGUUUGAAGUUUUUUUCCCAUGUCAAAGGUGAAGGAUUAUGCCUGGCAUAGGAAUUUAGUCUUCAAAUGCAGGACUUUAUGAGCUGAAUCUCAACAACUCCUGGGCAGAAUGUGAACAUUUACUCAUGCUACACGCUUGUGAAUGAGGAUGUAUGUGUGAAUCAAUUUGAGUGAAGUGCCAUGCUAUUCCUUAGCAGUGGGACCGUGGAUGCGACCCCAAGGAGUACAGCUAUUGGCCAACAGCAGCAGGGGAAAACCGUUUACCACAUCUCUGUAAUCCUGAACGAAACACAGGGAGAUGCGCUGGUGUCAGGGCUGGGAAUGGGCCGGGUCACCCACACCCUGGUGGAGAAUUGCCAGCCAGGAGGAGAGAUAAUUAAAGUUGUGCCAAUGGAGAACAGCCCCAGGCUGGGCAGGGCACGGCAGGAGUUUGACAGGUGGCCCUCCCUGAGCCGCUCAGGUAGAGCUGGGAUACAAAGAGAGGAGGUAGUUGUGGAGGAGAAUGAGGAGGAGUUGGAGGAGGUGGAGGGAAAAAUGAAGACCGACAGGUUUUUGAAACAACCCUUCAAGAACUCCAAUACUUCCUCACAGAAAGACAGAGACGUGGCAGAGGCAGCCGCUCAGACAGACACCCAGGAGCAACACAUUCAGAGCGCAACAUUACGAUCUGUCACCGUCCACGCUAAAGGGCUCGUCUUUGGGGACCAUGGCCCAGUCACAGGACAUAGCUCUCUGCCUCGGGCUGUGUUGCGAAGGUCGCGUCAGGAUGAAGCCCCGCUGGGUAGAAGAACGGUGAGCAUGUAUGGCGACUCAGUCAAGCAGCAAAGAGAUUCUCAACCUGAGCAAGAAAGGCGGCUGCGGAGGCCCAGGAGUGUGUGCAUGCUGGCAGGCCCAGGUCCAGUCCAGUUGGAACCCCGGACCCAGCACCCCUUCAAAAGGGCAGGUGUUUCAGAGAACAACCAGCAGAACAGGAACAGGAAGGCUGAGUUGAGGGCUGUGGAUGGCCUCAAUGCUGUUGCAUCUCAGAGGCCUUCAUCCCCCACAGAGGUGACCCCCAGGCUCCGCCAGAGGAGCUGGAGGCCCAGGCCUGUCAGUAUGACAGUACUGGAGCUCAGAAAGAGGGGCUCUGAUGAUGAGAUAGACAGCCAGAAGAGCUGCAGCCACAUAGGCAGCGAUGGAGGAGGCUUGCUCAAAGGGGGCUUCCGUUGGAGGCUGUUUGGCAAAUCAUCUCAAGAUAAGAGCAAGGAGAAAGAAGGUGACAAAGAUGCAAAAUCUUCUCCCAAAUCCAGUAAAUCUGACGCUCCAAAAAGUACACUUAGCUCCUUAAGACGGAGCCUCAGUCUGCGAAUCAGGAGGACUCGACCCCGGGACAAAGUUACUUUAGGGUCUGAAAGUGAGUUAAAGGACGACUCUCGGACUAAAAGUACAUCUGAGGACACAACAAUGCCUCCGCUGCCUUUCUCAUACCUCACUGGAAGAACUCUUCCAACUUCCAGUGAGCAGACUGGGGAUGGGGGGAUGCAGUACAUUCAGUACCACAGCAGGGGGAAGGUCAAGGUAAUGGAGGUACCCCUCUGUCCAACAAAACUGUCUUCCAAACCAGUUCAGGAAGAACCAAGCAUAUGGCAGCUCAUAGCCAACCGUUUCAGGAGGAAAGAGCAGCCAUGCAGUGGCAAAUGUGAAACCCAGCAGUCCCAGAGCAAAGACACAGACCAGUAUCCCCUGGCCGGGAAUAAUAAGUCACAGCCAGUCGCCAUAGAGACUCCGGCAGGCAUUGACUCCCACAAAGGUCAAGACUCUUUCGUCAACAGCCAGGAAUGGACAUUGAGUCGGUCAGUGCCAGAGCUGAAAGUGGGCAUUGUGGGGAAUCUGUCCAGUGGGAAGUCUGCUUUGGUCCACCGGUACUUGACAGGCACAUAUGUGCAGGAGGAGUCUCCUGAAGGUGGACGGUUUAAGAAAGAAAUAGUGGUGGAUGGACAGAGCUACCUACUUCUGAUCAGAGAUGAAGGAGGACCUCCAGAAUCACAGUUCGCCACCUGGGUGGAUGCGGUGGUUUUCGUCUUUAGCCUGGAGGAUGAGAUCAGCUUCCAGACAGUCUACAAUUACUUCUUGCGCCUAUCCAACUACAGGAACACAGCUGAGGUCCCCAUGGUCCUCGUUGGAACACAAGAUGCAAUCAGUGCUGCCAACCCCAGAGUGAUCGACGACUCACGGGCCAGAAAGUUGUCAAACGACCUGAAGCGCUGCACGUAUUAUGAGACCUGCUCCACCUAUGGCCUCAAUGUGGAGAGAGUCUUCCAGGACGUUGCCCAGAAGGUUGUGGCCAUGAGGAAAAAGCAGCAGCUCUCUAUUGGUCCAUGCAAAUCUCUCCCCAAUUCUCCCAGCCACUCAUCAGUCCCCGCCGCAUCCAUCCCCUCUGUUCACAUUAACCAGGCGGCCAAUGGUGGGGGUGCAUUCAGCGACUACUCCUCCUCUGUUCCCUCCACCCCCAGCAUAAGUCAGCGGGAGAUGCGCAUUGAGACCAUCGCUGCCUCCAACACGCCCACGCCCAUCCGCAAGCAGUCAAAGCGCCGCUCCAACAUUUUCACAUCACGGAAAGCCAGUGAACAAGCAAAGAGCGUUGACAGUAAAACAGACAGCAUAGGCAGUGGGAGGGCCAUACCUAUCAAACAGGGAAUCCUUCUGAAGCGAAGUGGCAAAUCCCUCAACAAGGAGUGGAAAAAGAAAUAUGUCACACUGUGUGAUAACGGCGUCCUUACUUACCACCCCAGUUUACAUGACUACAUGCAGAAUGUGCAUGGGAAAGAGAUAGACUUGCUGAGGACGACAGUGAAGGUUCCCGGGAAGCGGCCACCCAGAGCGGUGGCCACCGUCGCCCCCACUGCUAGUCCCAAAACCAACGGGCUGACCAAGGACCGCAGCACCUUGCAGCUGGGCAUAGGAAACACAGGUGCUCCUCACUCCAACAGUAGCUCAUCCCUGCAGACGGGCGCGUCGUUGUUCAGCGGCAGCAAAGACAGCAUGCACCAGCGCUCCUUCUCCGUGUCCAGCGCCGACCAGUGGAAUGAAGCCAUCAACACCAGUACGAGCAGCGGAGCCCCCAAUGGAAUGAGUGAUCCUGCCAGUUCCAGUGUGGGCAGCGCCACGAGUCCUAAACUUGAGCCACCUCCUUCGCCACACGCCAACCGGAAGAAACACAGACGGAAAAAGAGCACGGGCAUCACCAAGCCAGACGGCUUAUCAGCAGGCAAUGAAGAGCAAGAGGACUCCUUUGAGUUCAUCAUUGUGUCGUUGACGGGUCAAACAUGGAACUUCGAAGCGUCCACAUAUGAGGAGAGGGAACUGUGGGUCCAAGCAAUUGAGAGCCAGAUCUUUGCCAGCCUGCAGUCCUGUGAGAGCAUAAAGAACAAGUCUCGGUUAGGCAGCCAAAGUGAUGCAAUGGCCAUUCAGUCCAUAAGAAAUGUGAGGGGGAACAGCUUCUGUGUGGACUGUGAUGCACCCAACCCAGACUGGGCUAGUCUGAACCUCGGCGCCUUGAUGUGCAUCGAGUGCUCUGGGAUCCACAGAAACUUGGGCACCCACUUGUCUCGCGUCCGCUCCCUCGACCUGGACGACUGGCCGGUGGAGCUCAGCAUGGUGAUGACGGCCAUCGGUAACACGAUGGCCAACAGUGUGUGGGAGGGCGCUUUGGAGGGCUACACCAAGCCAGGGAGCGACAGCAGCAGGGAGGAGAAGGAGCGCUGGAUCCGAGCCAAGUACGAGCAGAAGAUGUUCCUGGUGGGACUGCCCCAGUCGGACGUGCCCCUGGGGCAGCAGCUGCUUCGGGCGGUGGUGGAGGAUGACCUGAGGUUGGUGGUGCUGCUGCUGGCCCACGGCACCAAGGAGGAGGUUAACGAGACCUACGGGGACGGAGACGGACGCACCGCUCUGCACCUCUCCUGCGCAAUGGCCAACGUGGUCAUCACACAGCUGCUCAUCUGGUACGGUGUGGACGUGAAGAGUCGGGACGCUCGUGGUCAGACCCCGCUGUCCUACGCCCGGCGGGCCGGCAGCCAGGAGUGCGCUGAUAUCUUAGUUCAGCACGGUUGCCCCAACGACACAAGCAGCCUGACGUCCGUGCCCACACCCAACAUGAGCCGCCGCAACCCCAAUCCCAACAUCAACAACAACAACGCCCAGUGUGAGCUGAACCGCAGCAUCAGCAUCAUGUAGGAGCCGGAGAGCAGCCGCAGACAAACACACCAACAACCCCAUACCUGCUCCUGUCUCUUCCCAGUACUUCCACCUCUGUUUCACACUGUGUAACCCAGAAUCAGUACCAAUGGAGAGAUAUCAGGAGCCAUGGACUCAUUGUUUAUACUUCACUAUGCCGAAAGAUGUGGGCGUUUGGGGUUCGGACAUUGUACAUUGUUUGUUUUAUAUUAUUAUUUUUUAUUUGUUGAAUUCAUUCAGUCUUGGUCUGAAAUGAUCACGAUCAGCUUUAAGCUUUUUGUUUUUUAAGCACCAACCAAACAAAUGACUUACUUUGGCAUUCAUACCUUCCCUACGAAAAGCAUUUCCUUAAUGCUUGAACAUUUCCUUUUAUGUCUUCCCCUUCUGCGACGUGAACUGAUUUUAUAAUGAGCUUGAAAUGAGAAACUUCCUUCAAAUUUCCAACCUUAAGCAUAAUAUCAUAAAACUGUGAGGAAUAGUUUUACAAGUGACAAGAAAACACUGAUGUGGGAAAAGAAACUAAAUCUUCCAUGAUCUCGAUGGCUGUUACAGCUUUUAGUAAUGAUGCAUGUCUUCAACACAGCUAUCAAACUCUUGACAUACUAUUCAUAUACAAAGGCAAAGCAAUUAUAGUUGAAGAGUCCAAAUGAUUUAGAUACUUAAUUCACAGGAAAAUGGGUUCGGAUCAUCAUAAAGGAGUUGAUUGCAGAAUUCCUAUUGGGUGAAAGUGAGUCAUUUCCUCUGCCACCCUUAUCGUGAUCCUCCAGUAAAAGUGUCCGUGACUACAAAGGAAUUAAGGGGCAUGAUGUUUUAUGACCAUCGAGCCACAUGGCUUUGUAAGCGUGCCUCUUCAAUCAGAAUUCAUUCAAAUUCAAAGGUUUGAUUGAAACAGUGAAAUCGUACCAUUAAUGGCGUCUUUGUUGGAGUAAUUCUCCGACUGACUAGAUCGUGUUGAUAAUUGUUUGACAUAGAUACCGGAGCAUCCAUUCGCCUCCUGUGGCCCAAGGCUGUAGUAAUUGGUACUCUCGAGAGCAUUUCCUCCAUUUGUUGCUGUGAAAUACAUAUGUGGUACUGUGUGUGUGCAUCCGUACAUUAACUGUACAACACGUGUGCUUAUGUCUUCGUCCGUGACCGUGUGCAGCAAAGAGCGACUGGGCAUUUCUGUUCAUAAACAUGGGAGAGAGGACACUGGAGACAGUGAAGAUUUGGGAACAUAACUGUGUUCUGAUGUACAGAUCGCUGUAAAAAGUAGUUCUUGUUCCUUCACCUUAUUCCUUAUAAGAACAGUUUGAACUUUGACUUUUAGAGUUAAAUUAAAAAAAAAUCAUUUUCCUUAAGUGUCAGCCUAAAAGCAGGGAGUUAACACAUAAUGCGUUGAAGUGACUGAAGCGAGACAUCUAGGUAUAAAGUGAGCAAGGAGAUUCCUAGAGGGACGUAUAAUUAGUUUGGCUCUCUUUGCAUUAAUACAAAUGUACAGUAUUCCACUGACAUGAUAAGCCAGUUCAUUUAUAGUAAAGGUAAGAGAUGAAUUCAGGUGGAGUUGGCACAAUGUCUACCGUGUACUUUCCCUUUUAUUCAACUGCCAUUUUUAAGGUUUUAAACCGUCUUGAUUUUAUGGGUUUACAGAGGCAGGAUGUGUAUGUUUACAGAGCAAGUUAUUAACUUUUUGUACGAUCUUAUCUUCAGGAUUCUGUUGUUGCUUUACAGUAGUCCUGUUUGCAGAGCCCAUGGUGAAUGAAUAUGUGGUCCAAAGAGGAUGUUUGUAAAUGACCAUAGUGAUAUGAGGAGUAGUUUGACAUUUUUGGAAAUAUGCUUAUUCGCUGUCUUGAUCAGAGAAUUAAUGCCACUCUCAUGUCUGUGUGUUCUGUACGGAGCUGGAGACAGAGGGUGAUUAGCCUAGCUUAGCAAACACCGGAUUUGCACAUUGGAUUUUUCAUAUGCGUGUUCCACACAGAACCCUUGCACCUUUAUUUUUCUAUUCAUUGUCAAAAUUUGCAAUAUGGGGCAAAGACGCAUUUGCUCCCUUGCUUGUCUCCGCUGGAGUUACCUCUUCGCCAGUCUCUGCCUGCUUCUUGCAUUUGGCACCGCCGCUACCUGAGUUAUAAAGUGUUGCAGUGUGGCUAUUAAGUUGCACACUGCUGUAGGCGUCAUCAUCGCCGUUGUGCAUUUCUGAACAGGCCACGUUACUUUCUCUUUGUCAUUGAAGAUUUCAAGAAGAAAAUUACUUCCAAAUAUUUCGCCGAAUUUUUCUUGCUGGCCCCAUGGCCGCCUCUGACCUGUUACGCACUCUCGUUGUGGAUACUUAGUGUCCGCAGGUUACGCCACAUUUCUUCGCUGCUUCUUACUCUAGCAACUUUCUAAAGGCCUUUGACAGAUGCAAAAAAAAAAAUGUGGAAAAUCGAAACCUGUCCUGAAAACUUGAAUGAUGGACAAAAGUCUUGGAGUCGGUGUGUAAGGGCUCAUUUAUGCUCAACGUUAGAUAUGAAGACGGAGAUGGACGGAGCCGUUCGUCCGUAUUUGUGCAUGUUUUCUGAAAGCUUACAGACAUGCAGGAAACGGAGCAGUACCACCACAGAUUGUGGACGCAAUGUAGUGUAGUUCAAGAGAGGUACGACCAUAGGAGACGACCAAGAAAUUUGAAUAAUUGCAAAGCGGAACAAAUUGGUAAUAUAUUAUAAUAUUUAGUGAAAAGAAUGCUCUGUCCAUGUGUCGGGAUUUAUAAUGGCCGCACAGACCACCUCCAUCUACAGCCCUACCUCCAUACAAAGGUACAAUAUUACAACCUCCUCCACCAUCGCCUUAUUUGUUGUCGUGCAAAACUUUUGACUCCGCCCUCUAGUGCCAUUUAUUGGCUGCAUCAAUGCUUUCAUAAUGGACGCAGGCAUGGAGGACAGUGACGUUUGCAACCGACAUAACUAUUGUCAUAUGUAAAGGGAGCCUUAAAUGUGAUUGACACAACAUGAAGUCGUAUCUCUUUUUAAACGUGCAACAAUUUUGUAUGAAAAAUACGGACUUGGUGUCCAAAGGCUUAGCAUAACGUUUACACCACAUAGGCAGACUUUCAAACAUCGGAAGGAGCCGAGCUAACUGUGUCCCCCUGCUUCCAGUCUUUAUGCUAGCUAGCUAAGCAAAGCUAAGCGUCUCUUGGCUCUAGCUCCAGACUUAACGCACAAGCAUGAGAGUUAACCGACAGCUAUAAGUCUCAGCAAGAAAGCGAAUAAACACAUUGCCCAAAAUGUCAAGCUAUUUCUUCAAGACAUCCCAAAACCGACCACAAAUUCAAGCAGCUACCUUCAAAUUUACUCGUACUGUACAGUGGUACUGGCCUUAUUUCUGAUUUUUACUUGACCAACUUGUUUCCGUGAGUACAUUUCAGUGUCCGAGGGGAUUACUGUGGGGAGUUUAAUGUUUAUAGUGAUUACCCUGAUGAACCCUUAUUUACAUACUGUAGAUGAUAAAAAAAAAAACACUAGAAACCUGCCUGUUUUUCCCAGACACAACAUAUGAACAAGUGUACAUAUUAGCUUAAUGCUUUUAUCUGAAGACAAGCUCCUCCUAGAGAAACAAACUAAACUGGUUUUAGGUCAACGGUCCCCUUUGACCCAUGAACCAUAUUUUGAUAUGUUGUUUUUUGUUCCACCUUAGGCAUAUUUUUAAGGUACUUCUGUUUGGUCUCGACAUUAACCGACCAUCUUUGGUACUUGUGUAUAAUGAUGUACAUUUGACAUAUUUAUAAUGCAGUUUGUAAAUAUCUUUUUUUGUUUUGUUUUGUUUUUUGUUCAAGUUAAUUUUCCUAUUGUAAUUCCUCUUACGUUCAGAACGUGAAACAAAGCAAAAGCUAAAGAGUAACUUGUUGUAUGCUUGGAUGCUUGGCUGACUGUUGACCUAUUAAUAAACACUCAAAUAAAACGAAGUAGCCUUCCCUGCAU